AAUCUUAUAGUAUACAAGUAUACAUUAAUUUGCAAAAUUAAAAAUGUUAAAUAAACUAAGAUUU
rnacentral:tRNA from 1 species